AAUCAACGCUGGCGGCGUGCCUCAGACAUGCAAGUCGAACGAUUAAGACUUCCUUCGGGAAGUGCAUAAAGUGGCGCACGGGCGAGUAACACGUAAGUAAUCUACCCUCGAGUGGGGAAUAACGUUCGGAAACGAACGCUAAUACCGCAUAAUGCAGCGGCAUCGCAAGAUGACAGUUGUUAAAGGAGUAAUUCGCUUGAGGAGGAGCUUGCGGCAGAUUAGCUAGUUGGUAAGGUAACGGCUUACCAAGGCUACGAUCUGUAUCCGGUCUAAGAGGACGGUCGGACACACUGACACUGAAUAACGGGUCAGACUCCUACGGGAGGCAGCAGUCGGGAAUUUUGGGCAAUGGGGGAAACCCUGACCCAGCAACGCCGCGUGAAGGAUGAAGUAUUUCGGUAUGUAAACUUCGAAAGAAUGGGAAGAAUAAAUGACGGUACCAUUUAUAAGCUCCGGCUAACUACGUGCCAGCCGCCGCAGUAAGAC
rnacentral:rRNA from 1 species